GCGUGACGUGGUGGUUCUGUUGAUUGCGGGAUAUAUCGAGGCGGGUAGUAGGUAGAUGAUAUGAUGAUGCUUGGAGUGUGCUGCCGGCCGGUUCCCCCUUUCCACGUCACAUCCGGAGCCCCUUUUUGGUUUUGUUUUCUCUUUCCCCACCCUUCGAUUUUGUUGGAUUUAGAGUUGUGAAAACGACUAUGUUUGAUUCGUGUAUCGUGGACUUGUACCUGUGGUAUUUUGUGGACUUUCGCAUUUGUGGGUUCUUUAUUCGUUUUUCCGCUGUGUUUUUGAUAUAUAUCUGUGUGGGCUAGAUAUUUAACUGCGUGGUUGUGUUUCUUUUGUGCAUAAAUAUUCCAGCCGCCUGUGGCUGACGUAUUUUGUUUGUACGGAUG